rnacentral:rRNA from 1 species
AGCGGAGGAAAAGAAACCAACAGGGAUUGCCUCAGUAACGGCGAGUGAAGCGGCAAAAGCUCAAAUUUUAAAGCUGGCAUCUUCGGUGUCCGCGUUGUAAUUUUGUGAGGCAUCUCCGGGUAGGGCGCCGGCCUAAGUUCCUUGGAACAGGACGUCACAGAGGGUGAGAAUCCCGUGCUUGGCUGGCUGUCCCCGCCCACGUGAGGUGUCUUCGACGAGUCGAGUUGUUUGGGAAUGCAGCUCAAAAUGGGUGGUAAAUUUCAUCUAAAGCUAAAUAUUGGUGGGAGACCGAUAGCGCACAAGUAGAGUGAUCGAAAGAUGAAAAGCACUUUGAAAAUAGAGUUAAAAAGUACGUGAAAUUGUUGAAAGGGAAGCGCUUGAGACCAGACUUCGGUAGGGGGUGAUCAGCCGUCCUUCGAGGCGGUGCACUUGUUCCUCUCUGGGCCAGCAUCGGUUGAGGCGGCGGGAUAAAGGUCCCGGGAAUGUGGCUCCUUCGCGGGAGUGUUAUAGCCCGGGUGAAUGCCGCCAGCCUCGACCGAGGACCGCGCCCGCAAGGGUUAGGAUGCUUGGCAUAAUGGUCUUCAGCGACCCGUCU